rnacentral:lncRNA from 1 species
CCCGCCACACCCACGGCAGGAAGCCCGGCUGGGGAGGGGCCCGCAGGAUGACUUGGAAUUUUUGCCUUUGUUUUAGCCACCCUGAAGGAGAGGUUAGCCACCUGUAUGAUGGGCAGCAGUAUGUGGAAGAAAUUUGCGAGACCAUGAAGAGCUGGUGGAUCGCCCAAGCAAAUGCACACAACAAAUUCAUUGUCUUUGCAGUCCUGGCUUUUCAUCUCUGUGCUCUGUUCCAUCAUUUGCCAUGCAAGUCACAUAGAAGUAAGAAUGAUAGCAGCUAGGCUGGAGGAACAGAG